rnacentral:misc_RNA from 1 species
GAUGAAGAACGCAGCGAAAUGCGAUAAGUAAUGUGAAUUGCAGAAUUCAGUGAAUCAUCGAAUCUUUGAACGCACCUUGCGCCCUUUGGCCAUUCCGAAGGGCAUGCCUGUUUGAGUAUCAUGAACACCUCAACUCUCAUGGCUCGCCAUGAUGAGCUUGGAUUUGGGGGUCUUGCUGGCCUGUGGUCGGCUCCUCUCAAAUGGAUCAGCUUGCCAGUGUUUGGUGGCAUCACAGGUGUGAUAACUAUCUGCGCAUGUGGUUUUCCAUCAGAUAACCUUCAGUGAUGGAGGUUCGCUGGAGCUCAUAAACGUCUCCCCUAAGCGGGGACAGCCCUUUGAAUGUUUGAUCUCAAAUCAGGUAGGACUACCCGCUGAACUUAAGCAUAUCAAUAAGCGGAGGA